rnacentral:lncRNA from 1 species
CCGCCCCCGCCAUUGCCGAUCUCUCCCCCGCAGUCGUAGGAGCCGCUGCCAAUGACCCCCACUGAAGGUGGAAGACCUUCCCCUCCUACCUCGAUGUCUCCGAACUGCGGCUUUUCCGUCGUCAUUCUCGACCCAUCCGUGGACCUCCUUCCACGGCUCCAUGCCAGUAGCUGCCGUUUCCCCAUGGAGACGAAGCUCUCUCUCCGUCGUGUUUCGCUGAAGAGAGAGGCUC